ensembl:misc_RNA
AUGAUUACUGGGCAGACGGGAUCCCCAGGCCAGGUGCAACAUGAGAAGCAGGAGUGCAGGUUUCCCUCGAUCUGCCCCCACCCAGCCCCAAGCCAAUGUUCCUCAACCCUGAUCCUGGAGGUACCUCCUGGAGGUGCGAAGGGGAGUUCAGUCUCAUUGCUCAUUUAAUCCUGGCUUUUU